UCUCCGUUGGUGAACCAGCGGAGGGAUCAUUACAGAGUUGCAAAACUCCCAAACCAUUGUGAACGUUACCUAUCCCGUUGCUUCGGCGGGCGGCCCGGGCCCCGCGCCCGGCGCCCCCCGGCCCCCCGUGGGCGCCCGCCGGAGGUAAACCAAACCCUUGAAUUGCAUGGCCUCUCUGAGUCUUCUGUGUUGAAUAAGUCAAAACUUUCAACAACGGAUCUCUUGGUUCUG
rnacentral:misc_RNA from 1 species